rnacentral:tRNA from 1 species
GCCAUUUUCGCUCAAUGGCAGAGCACCGGACUUUUAAUCCGGGGGUAGCGGGUUCGAUUCCUGCAAGCGGCACCA